rnacentral:rRNA from 1 species
GACGAACGCUGGCGGCGUGCCUAAUACAUGCAAGUCGAACGCUUCUUUCCUCCCGAGUGCUUGCACUCAAUUGGAAAGAGGAGUGGCGGCCGGGUGAGUAACACGUGGGUAACUUACCCAUCAGAGGGGGAUAACACUUGGAAACAGGUGCUAAUACCGCAUAACAGUUUAUGCCGCAUGGCAUAAGAGUGAAAGGCGCUUUCGGGUGUCGCUGAUGGAUGGACCGGCGGUGCAUUAGCUAGUUGGUGAGGUAACGGCUCACCAAGGCCACGAUGCAUAGCCGACCUGAGAGGGUGAUCGGCCACACUGAGACUGAGACACGGCCCAGACUCCUACGGGAGGCAGCAGUAGGGAAUCUUCGGCAAUGGACGAAAGUCUGACCGAGCAACGCCGCGUGAGUGAAGAAGGUUUUCGGAUCGUAAAACUCUGUUGUUAGAGAAGAACAAGGACGUUAGUAACUGAACGUCCCCUGACGGUAUCUAACCAGAAAGCCACGGCUAACUACGUG